rnacentral:misc_RNA from 1 species
CACACUUCCUUCCUAUGAUUCGGAGAACUAAACGGAAGCGAAAGCAUAAUGUUCUUUUUACUGCUGUCAUUAUUCGUUCCAUGAGAAGCGGUAGUAUUCAACACCGAUUGAUAGUUGUUUAAAUGGCGGGCUUUUUGCCAAGCUGGAAAAAUGUGAAAGAAAUUGGCAACCAAGUUUUGGGUCAUGGGGACUACCAACAAGCAACCGAUCACUAUAGCCAUGCCAUUUUUCUGGCGGAGGUAUGUGGUGGUGCAAGCAUUUGGGAACUGUCAGCAUUGUACAGCAACAGGUCCCAUUCCUUUGCAAAGCUAGGAUUCAUCGAACAAGCUCUUCAGGAUGCUUUCCAUUGUAUUGAAAUAAAUAGGAAUUGGUUUAAGGGAUACUGGCGAGCGGGACAGGCUUUGAAACUUUUGCAUAAGCCCCAAGAAGCUCUUCAAGUAUUUAGCGAUGGCUGUGCACUGGUGAAUGAAGAUGAUGGCAAAAACUUUCAUACUAAAGUUGACUUCAUUGUGGAAAUAGUAUCCUUGUCUCAUGAAAUUGGAAGCUGGAUGCACCUUGCAACACAUGUUAGAGCUCGUGAUAAUGUGUGGUCGCAGCUGCUGUUUUGUAUGGCAAAAAAGAAGAAGUGGGAAACACUCUUAAUCCUGCUAAUGGGAACUGGAGUCUUCAGAAAAGAAUCUGUCAUGUUUAAUUACCAAGGAAAGUUCCCCAAAAUAAGCACUCAAAAGAUCUGUCUUACCAACUUAAUCAAGUACUGUGCAUCUCAAGCAGACCCUAGUUUUGUGCAUCUUGCAAUCAAUCUUCUGCAACAUGGAUCCAAAGAAACAGAUAUAACAUUAGAGACGGGGGACACUCCAUUCCAUGCAGCUCUUACAAUUGCAGUGAGAACCUCAAAUACAGACCUUUUGUGGCAUUUGGUUAAUUCCAACCCAGACAGGGUUAAGGGAGUACAAGAUGCCCGCGGGGAUACUCUCCUGCACAAAUUGGCCAAAACACUGGCAAGGGAACCUUCUCUUCUCUUUGGGGAUGUCACAUCUGAACUCAUGGAAAAAAAAUAAAUCUGAUAAAAAAAGGUGAGCUUGUCAGUUCCAUGGGCAUAAAAUUGUUACAGGUAGAUCCCAACAUUAGAAAUAAAG